rnacentral:tRNA from 1 species
GCCUGGGUGGCUCUGUCGGUUGAGCGUCUGACUUUGGCACAGAUCAUGAUCUCACAGUUUGUGGGUUCGAGCCCUACGUCGGGCU